GUGCUCGCUUUGGCAGCACAUAUACUAAAAUUGGAACGAUACAGAGAAGAUUAGCAUGGCUCCUGCGCAAGGAUGACACGCAAAUUUGCGCAAAGUCCCAUAUUUUU